GUUUCUCACUUCAGCAGCACAUAUACUAAAAUUGGAAUGAUAUAAAGAAGGUUAGCAUGAGCCUUGUACUGAAUGACUUACCAAUUAAUAAAGUGUUCUAUAUUUUU